rnacentral:ncRNA from 1 species
AACGAAGUAGCCGAAAAUCGUUAAAAGAGUAGGCA